rnacentral:rRNA from 1 species
GAUGAGCGCUAGCUGGAGGCUUAAUACAUGCAAGUCGAGCGGGAUUGGGUAGCAAUACCCAUGAGAGCGGCGCACGGGUGAGUAACGCGUACACGACCUACCUCUAACAGGGGGAUAGCCCUGGGAAACUGGGAUUAAUACCGCAUAUAAUUCUGAAUAAUAAAGGUUUGGAAUGAAAGCUGAGGCGGUUAGAGAUGGGUGUGCGUCUGAUUAGCUAGUUGGUAGGGUAACGGCCUACCAAGGCGAUGAUCAGUAGGGGGCGUGAGAGCGUGGUCCCCCACACGGGUACUGAGACACGGACCCGACUCCUACGGGAGGCAGCAGUAAGGAAUAUUGGUCAAUGGGCGAAAGCCUGAACCAGCCAUCCAGCGUGCAGGAAGAAGGCCCUAUGGGUUGUAAACUGCUUUUACCAGGGAAGAAACCUCUGGAUUUACUCCGGAGCUGACGGUACCUGAAGAAUAAGCACCGGCUAACUCCGUGCCAGCAGCCGCAGUAAAAC